GCAGCCGACCUGGCUGUGAGGCCGGGGCGCCCCCCAGUGACCGUAGGGGAGCUUUGCUCCGGGAGGCGGCGGAAGUGGCUUUGGGUUCUGGUCGCACGGAUAUGGUGGAGGAGGUGCGGCAGGAGCUCUCGGCGCUGGCCGCGAUCUUCUGCGGGCCCAACGAGUGGGAGAUGUUGAGCUGUUCAGAGACAGAUGGGGCUGUGUUUAGAAUUCACACAACAGCUGAAGGACUUGUGGGUGAGGAUGUGCCCUUAGAGUUGGCGUUCCAUUUACCAGUUGGUUACCCUUUGUGUCUACCCGGCAUCUCGGUUACCUCGGAACAUCUGACCAGGGCCCAGUGUGUUACCGCGAAGGAGAAGUUACUUGGAGAAGCCAGGAAGCUCGUGUCAGAACCGAUGGUUCACGAGCUGGUUCUUUGGAUCCAGCAGAAUCUCAGACUUGUCCUCAGCCAGCCGGAGACCGCCAGCAGCCAUGAGAAGUGCACUUUGCCAGAAAGUGCGACGGGGGACGAUGGACCGUGGAUGACUCUUUUGCGUUUAGAUCACAUGAGAGCGAGGACUAAAUAUGUCAAAGCCGUGGAGAAGUGGGCUUCAGAGUUAAGGCUGACAGGAAGACUGAUGUUCAUGGGUAAAUUAAUACUGAUUUUACUACAAGGAGACAGAAGCAACAUCAAGGUGCUGGAAAACUUCAUUUUGAAUAUGAAUCUACUUGCUUUCUCUUAAAUAUGGUGCAUUUUUAAGUGUGUUUUAUAACAGUGAGCUAGUCGAAGCAUGGUGUUUCUGAUUUGCCUAUCAUCGUGUUAAAUGGUACUUUGUUUUUUUUUUUUUUUCUCCUCUAUUCUUUAUAUUUGUUUAUCUUUUGUGUCUGGGUGUUUUGUCGGGAUGUGUCUGUGCACCUCGUGUAAACGUUUAGAAAAGCCUCUGAUGCUCACAGAGCCUGGAGGAGGGGGUUGGAUCUCCUGGGAGCUUCGAGCUAUGAGCUGGGUAUCAAACACAGCCUCCGGAAGAGCAACCAAGUUCUAACCACUGAGCCAUCUCUCUAGGCACCCAACCAUCUUUCCCCAGUUGUUUUUUUAAAAUAUACAUAUCUAUCUAUCUAUCUAUCUUGUCCCUAACAACAGCUAUAAACUUGCAAGGUUCAGGAUUAGCAUAAGAUUAUAAUGUAAAAAUUAUGCCACUCAAUGAAAUGACAGUUUUUUUUUAUUUCUUAUUUUCUUAAAAAUGUGUAUGCGUGUUUUGCUUGCAUGUAUAUAUGUACAGUGCCCAAGGAAGCCAGAAGAGGGUGUUGGCUCCCUAGGAACUGGAUAGCUGCCUUUGGGUAUUGGGAACCAAGAAGUGCUCUUAACCGCCGAGUUAUCUCUCUAGCACCAGCCCCAGUUUUGGAAAAGUCCAAGGACAUGUAUUUGUUUCCUAUUAAUGGUAAACUGCAUCUGUAUAAACAAGAACAAAAAACUUGUCCAUAUUAAUUUUUUCCACAGCUCAGCACAGCAAGGAGUAUGUUUGUGAGUAGUCUGCAAAUUUCCUAACAUGCAGGCGCUUAGAAGCGCAUCCUGACACUUCAGUGUUGUACCUGUAGUGCCUGAGAGGAAGGCUUGUCCUUUACAGCCAGGAGCCAGCCUCAGAGGAAGCAGGGUCGCCAGGACUGUCAGCUUGUCACCUCCUCCAGACUUCUUCUUUCCACCUGACUUGUCCCAGCAGCUGCCUUCAAAGCCCUCAUCUUCAGCUUCCCGAGCUCUCAUCCUGAAGCCCCCUAGCCUGUUUUAUGAGGAGCCAGACAAGGAAACCUGCUUAUUAUGCCUUACAUUUUAACAGAGCUACAGAUCACUUCAUACGUUUUGCAGUGUCAGAGAGUACCUGAUUCUUCAGAAAACCUCCAAAGUAGAUGUGGACUCAAGUGGAAAGAAAUGCAAAGAGAAAAUGAUUAGUGUACUGUCUGAAACAAAAGUACAAACGGAACACAAAAGGUUUCUGGCGUUUGAAGUCAAAGAGUAUUCAACACUGGAGGAGUUACAAAAGGAAUUCGGAGCUGCAGGACUUGGGGAGCUCUUCUCAGAGUGUGUACUGGGGCUGGUGAAAUGAGGAAGAAAAGCGAGUCCUGUUUUAUGGAAUAUUAAACAUGAAAAGAUCCCAUAUAUUCUAACGUUUGCCAGAAAAGACUAGGUUCAAUAGACGGAUUGUCUGGAGGAGAGAGAAACCCACCACAGUAAAGGAACUGUUGUUUUUAUAGAGACAAUUUGUUUAGAACUCUGCAAUUUUCAGGCUAAUUUUCUCGUAAUUAAAUGAUUUCUUAAAGUGAUUUGUUUUCAUGUUUACUUUCUCAUGUUUAUGUUUUUUGCCUUUAAUCGUGCCUUCCUCCCCACUCUGCUUAUUAUGUUUUAAGUUGGAUGUUGAGAAAAAUCUAACACUCAUUUCUUGGUGCGGUUGCAUAAAUCGUUGGAUUAAAUACAAAACCAAGAAGUUUUACAGAACACAGUUGCUUUCUGGAGAGCUGGAAGAAUACACAGUGAGUUCAAAUCGAAAUUCAUAUGUGAAAAAAAUAAUUUCUGGUUUUACAAGGAAAAUGUGUCCAACAAAGUGAACCCUUUUUAUUUUUUUUGGUGGAAAAACAAACCAAACUGUAGCUCUACAAUUUUCAUUGUGAAAUCUCUCAAAUAAUGGUAAAAUGUACUAACUAUGUCCAAGGGGAGAUAAACUCGCAGCAUAAUUAUUUAUAUUAAAAUUUAUGAUGAAAUGUAAAAGGA